rnacentral:rRNA from 1 species
AUGGCCGCCACCGCCAGGGGAGCAAGCACCGCAGGUUCGUCGUCGCCGCGCACCAGCUUCGUCGCGGACUCCCUGAUCCUCCCCACGCGCAACGGCAGGCUCUUCGCGUCCGCCUUCGCGCUCGUCUACGUCCACACCUUCGUCUCCCUCUCCGUCGCCGUCCUCUACGCCCACCCCCUCGCCACCGCCGUCCUCCUCCGCGUGUACUCGCUGGUCAGGGACAACGACGGUGGCCCCGGGAGGAGCCAGCACGUCGUCUACGCGUCGGAAAGCGACGACGAGAUCCGGGGACACGCCAAGAAGCUGCUCGUCGUCUACCUCGCGUACCUCGCCAGCCAGCUCGCCACGCGGGUCGCCGUCGCGCUCGCCGCCUCCGCGACGUGUCGGGGUGACCGGCGCCCGCGCUCGCUGGCCAAGCUCGUCCGCGGCAAGGCGGCCGCGGGGAGGGUCCGCGGCACCUUGGCCACCGCCGCCCUCGUCGCCGUCGUCGAGCACGCGUCGUUGGCGGCUCUUCUCGCGUCCCCCUCGCGUCGUGGCGCUGGUGGACGAGCGGUGCCGCUGCCCGUGGCGAUCGCCGCGUCGGCGGCAGAUGAAGGUUACGGGGAAGGCGGAACACGCGCUGCUUUCCGGCGGGCGUGGCGGCUCAUGGCCGAGAGGGCGAGGAGGAAGGAGGCCGCCGUGAUGGUGGUCGUGGCGAGCCUCCUUCCGGUUGCCAUCUCCCGGGCGUACGCGUUUGCCAUGUACUGUUCUCAGAGGGCACCCGAUGCCGGUAUCAUCGGUGUCCUCCAUGGAUAUCUUCUCCCGUCCGUCGGCGUGCAGCUCUUGUCCACGGUGGCGGCCGCGAUGUUCUACCACCGGUGCAUGGAGCAUCAUCAUGAUCCGGCUGUCCUUCAACCGAGGACGAAACUAGCCAUAGCUAAAUCCUCCGUGAUUGAUUAA